UACAGAGGAUGCAAGCGUUAUCCGGAAUGAUUGGCGUAAAGCGUCUGUAGGUGGCUUUUUAAGUCCGCCGUCAAAUCCCAGGGCUCAACUCUGGACAGGCGGUGGAAACUACCAAGCUUGAGUACGGUAGGGGCAGGAGGGAAUUUCCGGGUGGAGCGGUGAAAUGCGUAGAGAUCGGAAAGAACACCAACGGCGAAAGCAACUCUGCUGGGCCGUCACUGACGCUGAGGCGCGAAAGCUCGGGGAGCGAACGGG
rnacentral:rRNA from 1 species